AGCAGGCGCGUAAAUUGCCCGAAUCCUGACACAGGGAGGUAGUGACAAGAAAUAACGAUACAGGGCUACAUCUAGUCCUUGUAAUUGGAAUGAGUACAAUUUACAUCUCUUAACGAUGAUCAAUUGGGGGGCAAGUCUGGUGCCAGCAGCCGCGGUAAUUCCAGCUCCAAUAGCGUAUAUUAGAGUUGUUGCAGUUAGAACGCUCGUAGUCGGAUUUCGGAGCGUUCCGACCGGUCUGCCGAUGAGUAUGCACUGGCCGGAGUGUCCUUCUGCCGGAGACCGUGCCUACUCUUAACUAAGCGGGGGCGGGAGACGGCACUUUUACUUUGAAAAAAUCAGAGUGUUUCAAGCAGGCAGCUCGCUCUUGCAUGGAUUAGCAUGGGAUAAUGAAAUAGGACUUUGGUGCUAUUUUGUUGGUUUCGAACACCGAAGUAAUGAUGAGAAGGGACAGUCAGGGGCACUCGUAUUCCGCAGAGAGAGGUGAAAUUCUCAGACCCGCGGAAGACGAACCACUGCGAAAGCAUUUGCCAGGGAUGUUUUCACUGAUCAAGAACGAAAGUUAGGGGAUCGAAGAUGAUCAGAUACCGUCGUAGUCUUAACCAUAAACCAUGCCGACUAGGGAUUGGAGGAUGUUCACUGAUUGACUCCUUCAGCACCUUACGGGAAACUAAAGUCUUUGGGUUCCGGGGGGAGUAUGGUCGCAAGGCUGAAACUUAAAGGAAUUGACGGAAGGGCACCACCAGGUGUGGAGCCUGCGGCUUAAUUUGACUCAACACGGGGAAACUUACCAGGUCCAGACAUUGUGAGGAUUGACAGAUUGAGAGCUCUUUCAUGAUUUAAUGGGUGGUGGUGCAUGGCCGUUCUUAGUUGGUGGAGUGAUUUGUCUGAUUAAUUCCGUUAACGAACGAGACCUUAGCCUGCUAAAUAGUGACGCGAACUCUUUGUUGGCGGUCCACUUCUUAGAGGGACAACUUGUCUUCAACAAGUGGAAGUUUGAGGCAAUAACAGGUCUGUGAUGCCCUUAGAUGUUCUGGGCCGCACGCGCGCUACACUGAUGCACUCAACGAGUCUCCACCUUGACCGAGAGGUCCGGGAAACCUUCGAACUUGCAUCGUGAUGGGGAUAGAUUAUUGCAACUAUUAAUCUUCAACGAGGAAUACCUAGUAGGCGCAUGUCAUCAGCGUACGUUGA
rnacentral:rRNA from 1 species